rnacentral:ncRNA from 2 species
GAGUGAAAUGGUUCGCACGGUAUUCCCCUCGCAAGAUGAGGGGAUCACGGGAAGUCGGUGCUCCUUCAGGGAAAAUCCGGCGCUGCCCCCGCAACGGUGAUCGAGUAAAGAUCCCACUGCCGGUCCGCUUGCCAGUCGUGACCGGAACCACUGCGCAUAUGCGUGGGAAGGUGGUGGAAUCGAGGCCCGCCCUCGCUCGUCAGCCCGGAGACCGGCCCUGCGAACCCGGCGCCG